GAGACAGUGUGCAUUGGAAGUGAGAGAGAGACACUGUUGAAGUUGAAGCAUCAUCUCAUUGAUCCUUCAAAUAGACUUUCUUCUUGGAAUGCUUCUCUCAAUCCCAAUUGUUGCCAUUGGUAUGGAGUUGUCUGCAACAACAUCACAUCUCAUGUUGCAGAGCUUCACCUCAACACUCCACCUCCUCUUUACGAUGAGAUAAUAGAAGCAUACGAAGAGGAUAAUAGAAGGGCAUUCAGUGGAGAGAUAAAUCCUUGUUUGGUUAAUUUGAAGCAUUUGAAUUACUUGGAUUUCAGCUGCAAUAAUUUUAAAGGUAUACCAAUUCCUUCCUUCAUUACAACAAUGACUUCCUUAACUCACCUCAAUCUUUCUCAUGCUGGAUUCAUGGGGAACAUUCCUCCUCAGAUUGGAAAUCUCUCCAAUUUGCUCUAUCUUGAUUUAAGUUAUGCUGCCAACGGAACAAUUCCUUCCCAGAUAGGGAAUCUCACCAACUUGCUCCACCUCCAACUCACAGGAUAUUAUUAUCUAUUUUAUGAAAAUGUUGAUUGGCUGUCAAGUCUUUCCAAGCUUUCUUAUCUUCACUUGAGCCACACUCGGUUACUCGUAGGAGGUAUGCCAAUUCCUUCUUUUCUUGGCUCAAUGACCAACUUAAUUCACUUGGACCUCUCUUUUUCUGGAUUUAUGGGCAACAUUCCUCCCCAGAUUGGUAAUCUUUCCAAUUUGGCGUAUCUAGACUUAACUAAUGCUGCCAAUGGAACUAUUCCCUCUCAAAUUGGAAAUCUCUCCCACUUGCUUCACCUUCGUCUUCCAGGUGAUUAUUUUGUUGGAAAUGAUGAUUGGUUGUCAAGUCUUUCAAAACUUGAAUAUCUUGAUUUGGGAGGUACAAAUCUAUCCCACUAUCGACUUAAGUAAUUUUACCUUAUAUUUUUUUGAAAAUAAAAGAAAAGAGUGAAAGAAGGAUAUGUGUUGAAAAUAUGUUUAAGUUGCUAUUCUUCAGUCCUGAAAAUAUUCUUAGAAUAUUUCACCAUAAAGAAACAAAAUGAGAAAGACUUUUGAGGUAAAUAUUUUGUGUUGACGUAGAAUUUAAAAAACUUUUCACACUUCUUUUUGGGUCUCUCUAAAAUUUUAGCAUCUAAAAUCACGUUACUCCUCGUCUAUUUUCUAACCCAUAUAAUGGGGGCAGAACUUUAAAAUUCAAGCAUAGGUUGAUGAAUUAUUUUAAACUUUAUUCAUUUUUUUUGUGUAAAGAAUUCUAAAUUUAACUUCACAAUCUUAAAAAUAGACAAUGAAGGAAUUUAUCUGAGUUGACUGAAACGUAUUUGAAAAUAAAAUAAAAAGUGUGGAAGAAGAAUGCUAGUCUCUGUAGGUUGUUAUUGUUUACCUCCAAAGACAGAAAAAAAAAAGGAAAAAAUUCAUCUUUGCGUGGACGUAGAAUUUAGAAAAUUCUUUCACACUUCGUUUUAGGUCUCUUAAGUGAUUUUUAGCACCUAAAGUCACGUUGCUGAUUUUGACAUGUAAAUUCAAUUUUAUAAAUUUAGCAUAUAAAAAUUAAAUUGUUGGAUAGAUAGCGUAAUAUAAAAUUUCAGGGGAGAACAAAAAAAACUUGACCCUUUUCUAUAUAUGUUUCUUCUUCUUUUUUUUAAAGGAAAAUAUUACUACAGGUAUGUUCUUCUCAUAUUUGAUUUUGAUUAUCUUACCAACUUAUGAUAAUGAUUAUGCUGAGAUUUAUAAUUUUCAUUAUAUUGGAUAAUUUUGUUCGUGUACAAAAUAUAAAUUAAUCUGGCGUUUCUAUAUUAUGCCUACGAGAUUUUCUUUAUCACAUGUAUAAUAAUUUGAUGCUUUGAAACCUUUUCAAGAAGAUAAACCGGUAUACAUAACAUCAUUUUAAAACACUCUACAUAAUAUAUUUCUAGCAUAAAUAAGAUAAAUAAUCAACGAAACAUGAGAAAAAAACACAAAGUCAUGAAAGAAAUUUAUAUUAUAUAUGAAAAAAUAUAUUAAAUUUAAAUACAUUAUAUCCAACCUCAAUUAAUAAGAUAGUUACACUAGUGCAAAAACGCUGUUUAACGUCACUCAAAAGACGUCGGUUCGAGAGAAGCCCGACGUAUAUGUGCGGACAAUGGCAUUACCGUAAAUAAGUUGGUAACCUAGACGUCGGUUUCGAGGGAAGGCGACGCCUAUGAGAUUGUAGACGUCCGCUCUGCCUUACACCGACGUCUAAUGGCUUGAGGUAGGAGAGAAGACAGUUUAUUGACGUUGGUUUUAAUGGGGGGCCGACGUCUACGGGGCUGCAAUUAAUGUUCAUCACCUGAUUCCAGAUGCUUAGACGUCAUGUAGUCAAAAAGCGACGUCUAUGGCCUGUCUGAAAGAGGGAAAGACAAAAAUUUCUGCAAUUUAGACGUCGAUGUUUAAGGGGAGAGACGUCUAUGUGCCUGUAAUUAAUUAUGUUCACCAAACUCGGACGUCCGGCAGAAGGGCACCAACGUCUAAAUUAUUAUAGACGUCGGCGCCCCUUCACAACUUUCAUCAACAUCCUUGACAAUAAAUGAAACGUCAAUCGGUUCAGCUUCCUAAACUUCAGCUCCCCUUUAAACUGACGUCUACUGGGCAUUCAAAAAGACAAAUUAAAUAUUAUCUUGGACGUCAAAUUAGUUAGAUAACCAACGUCUAGAUGACUAUAGACGUCGGUUUCUAGAGCAACCGAUGUUCCAUUUCAUUUUAAAUAAACCGUAGACUCUUUGCGGCAUUGCGAUUUCUGAUAUCGUCUCCCUCUUCUCCUUUUUCUCUUGCGGCACCUCUUCUUUUUCUCUCUUGCGGCAUUACAUUAUUGUUUCUGAUAACAUCAUCAUCUUCCUCCUCUCUUUUUUCUCUCUUGCGGCAGAGCAUCCUAGGUGCGUGGUUUCUUAUGGUUAUCGUUUAACCUUUGUCGGUCUUUCAUCGAUUAUCUUCUGGUUCAACUGAUUAAAACUUGUUUUGUUUGUGUUGUGUUUUAGUGCAGUUUUGUUUUUUUCUUGGGUAACGUAGUACCACAUUCUUCCUUUGCUAGCUGCCUCCAAGAAAAAGCGGCGUCUUUUGGAUUUAUUGUGACAUUUCGACCCAAAAACGAACCUGGGACGUUGCCUAGUUUUGAAAAUGGAACUAAUCAACAACCAAGGUUCGGUGUUGGGUUGAAAUGCCAUUAGAAAUUCAAAAGACGCAUGCUUUUUUUUUAGGGAAACUAGCAAAAGGAGAGUGUGCUACUAGGCUAUCCAAAGACAGGAACAAAACUGCACUAAAACACAACAACUAUAUUAGACGUCGGUUAAUGCAUUAACCAACGUCUAUAGUGACCUUAGACGAUGGUUAGUGACAUGUUCGAAGUCUAUAUAGUGCUCUUAGACGUCGGUUAAUGCGUAGUCCGACAUCUAUAUACUGCCUUUAGACGUCAGUCAUGGCACUGACGGACGCCACUACAGACAUCUGUUGGGUGUCUGUCCGACGUCCCAUUGACGUCACCGGUAAUGACGUCGGUUGUUUAGUAGAUGUUAAAAGCCCAAAAUAACCGACGUUAAUGAGCGUUUUUCCACUAGUGUUAGAUACUCCUACAUGUGAGUGACACAGAAAUGGAACAAAAUAAUGAAUUAGAUGAAGAUGAAAGUGAUUUUUGAAAAAAAAAAAAAGAAAACUCUCUUUUUCGUUCAUAUUAUAGCGAAAAGAUGCAACAGAUAAAACCAUAAGUAAUUAAAAUUAAGUUAUUUUCAAUCAAAUGUUUGUAAACUAUUAAUUAGUUUAUUUAUCCUUCAUACUUCAACUAUUGUUCAUAAAAACAUCCAAAUAGACACACAAACUAUUAAAUAAAAAGUUUAAAUUUAUUACAAAAUUGACUAGUAAUCCUAUAUGAAUAUUUUUUUUUCUUUGUAAUUAAGAACGUCUUUCAGUGAGAAGGAAGUCAUUAUUUUGAUUUUAUGUAUCUAUUGGUUAAUUGUUUAGCCCAUAAGAUUAGUUUCAACAUGCCAAAAGAGCAAUAGCAAAGUCUUUCAAAUGGUUUAGUUUGUAGACAUUCCAAUUCCAGAUAAUUGGUGUGCUAAUUUCCUAACGCAUAUGGAGAAGGAAUUCCAAUCGCUGUCAAUGGAAUAGCAUUACAUCUGGUGGUGCUGAGCUUCACCUUAGCAUUCAAUUUCCUUCUUCCGAUGAGAGUGUAGGUNNNNNNNNNNNNNNNNNNNNNNNNNNNNNNNNNNNNNNNNNNNNNNNNNNNNNNNNNNNNNNNNNNNNNNNNNNNNNNNNNNNNNNNNNNNNNNNNNNNNNNNNNNNNNNNNNNNNNNNNNNNNNNNNNNNNNNNNNNNNNNNNNNNNNNNNNNNNNNNNNNNNNNNNNNNNNNNNNNNNNNNNNNNNNNNNNNNNNNNNNNNNNNNNNNNNNNNNNNNNNNNNNNNNNNNNNNNNNNNNNNNNNNNNNNNNNNNNNNNNNNNNNNNNNNNNNNNNNNNNNNNNNNNNNNNNNNNNNNNNNNNNNNNNNNNNNNNNNNNNNNNNNNNNNNNNNNNNNNNNNNNNNNNNNNNNNNNNNNNNNNNNNNNNNNNNNNNNNNNNNNNNNNNNNNNNNNNNNNNNNNNNNNNNNNNNNNNNNNNNNNNNNNNNNNNNNNNNNNNNNNNNNNNNNNNNNNNNNNNNNNNNNAUCUGGUGGUGCUGAGCUUCACCUUAGCAUUCAAUUUCCUUCUUCCGAUGAGAGUGUAGGUUAUCCAUUCAACAAAGAUGUUUUCCAAGAAGCAUCAAGAAGCUAAAUUUUCUAACAUGUAAAGUGACCUAUGAAUUAGAGUUCGUGUAAACUAAUCUUUAUCUUAUCAUAUAAUUUGAAAAUGAAUAAUGGAAUAUUUUUUACUUAACACAAGAUUUGGUAUUAGAAAGCUAAAAAAGUGGAAAGUAGAAAGGUAUUAAAAGAAUUAACUGUAAAAAUUAAUUUCAUUAAAUAUAAUUUCAAUCAUAUAUUUUAAAUGUAUGAUCAGAAUUUAUUUCUUUCACAUCUGACACUUGUUCAUGUUUCCGUAUAUUAUUGUGAAAUUGAAAUUGAAAUAUUUUAUCUCUUUACCCAACAAAUAAAUAUAAGAGGUCUUCUCCUUUCAAAUAUAAAAUUGUAUGAAAUGUUUUAGUAAAAAAAAAUUGAACAAUUAGAGUUUUAAAAGGGAAGAUUAUGUGGUAAGGAUGAGGGACAAAUCAUGUUUUUGAAAAAAAAUUCCACUCUUUCGGAAAGUUUUUUUUUUCGUGUGAAAUGUAAAAUAUGUGAAAAAUAAACAGAAGCUUUGAAAAGUAAAAAUCAUAGUAAACCAGAAAUUGUAUAUACACAUGCAUUUUACACAAAUAACUUCUUAAAACAAUUGAUAAUGAAAACAAAAUUUACAAAAAAGAAUAAAAAAAUAUCUUUAUAAGUUAGGGAUUUGUAUGAGUUGUAUAUUUAUUAUUCUUUCUACCGCUUAGAUUAUUGCACCUUUAUUAUCAAGCCAAUUCUUAAAUUUUAAGCAGUCUUUCUUCAUAUGUAUCCUUUCUUUUUAAAAAAGAAACAGCUGGACUCCUUCUUAAUAACUGUCUUAGCAGGAAUCUUUCCCUUCACAUUAACUUGGUUCUUCUUAUUCUCAAAAGAAGUAUUCAAUUUCACCCUCUCCCCUUCUUCUAUUAAUAGCCUUUCUUCUUCUUGAAAACACAUGGUCAAUAAUUCAUUAAUAGACCAUUUAUCUUUAUGUGUGUUGUAAGAGAUUUUGAAGGGGGCAUAAUGGUGAGGCAAAGUGCACAAAAUAUAGUGUACCAGGAAAGAAUUAGACAUGGUAACUUCCAAAGCUUUUAGUUGUGCAACAAUGUCCCUAAUGCGCAUGAUAUGAUCACGCACUCCCUUAAUUCCAGUGAGCUUUAAGGAUGAAAACUGCAUUAUAAGGGUGCUGGCAAAGGAUUUAUUGGAUGUCGGAAACUGCUCAUCAAGAGCCCUUAGUAAAUCUUUGACAUUCUCAUACUGGUCAACUGAACCCCGGAUACCAGCGAAAAUAUUGGUUUUUAUGAACGUAACGGAGAGACGAUUUGACCUCUCCCAUUUUUCAUAAAGAUCAAUGUCAUCUUGAGUGUUGGUCUCAUUAAUACUUGAUGGUUCUGGUUUUCUAAUAGCAUAGUCAAUGUCCAUCCAGCCUAAAUGAAGAAGAACUCUUUCCUUCCAAAUCUUAUAAUUAUCUCCUUUCAACUUGGGAAUACCACACUUGAUAUCAGAAAAAGUCACAGAUUGAGAAACUGCAAAUUCAAAAUUACAUGCUUAUUAUAUAUUUUGAGACUAAAAAUAAAUGUCAUGUUUUACCAAUGUAAACAUGUCUUUACCAAUGAGUUUAUUAACAUAAAACUUGCCUGUGGGCUAAAGUCUUACUCAAUUAAACUCAUUAUCUUAAUGAUAAAACUAUCAAAUUAUAUGUCAUGUUUCACCAAUGCAAAACAUGUCUUUACCAAUGAGUCUAUUAACAUAAAACGUACCUGUGGGCUAAAGUUUUACUCAAUUAGACUCAUUCUCUUAAUGAUGAAAUUAUCAAAUUAUAUUUCAUAUUUCACCAAUGCAAAACAUGUCUUUACCAAUGAGUCUAUUAACAUAAAACUUGCCUGUGGGCUAAAGUUUUACUUAAUUAGACUCAUUUUCUUAAUGAUAAAAUUAUCAAAUUAUAUGUCAUGUUUCACCAAUGCAAAACAUGUCUUUACCAAUGAGUCUAUUAACAUAAAACUUGUCUGUGGGCUAAAGUCUUACUCAAUUAGACUCAUUUUCUUAAUGAUAAAACUAUCAAAUUAUGUUCCUUUUCUUAAUUCCUAUGGGUAAAUUAAGAAAUAUAAUUUAAUAUUUUAUCCUAAUUAAUCAUAUAAAUAUGAAAAAAAAUUGUGGGUAGAUUUUAUCAUAUUAAAUAUAAUUAUUUACAACUAAUGUUUCUCAUGUAGCAAAACUCUAUAUACAAUUUUAAUUGAUUAAAGAUAUUGUGACUACUCUUUAAUCUAUUAACACUAUAUUACUACUAAAACAUUAAUAAUAUAUAAAUAUUUACAUAAAAUUCUUAAUAUGUAAAUAUAUUAAUAAUAAUGCAUAUUUAAUUUGCACAUAUAACAACAAAUAUAUCCAUACAAAUAAUACCCAAAAAAAUAUAUAUAAUUAUUAAUCAAAAAACAUUUAAACAUAUAUAUAUAUAUAUAUAUAUAUCACGUUCAAGGAUUAAUUACCUUUUACCAAGCCUACAAAUUUUCCUAGAGGGAAAGAUGAUGGGAGACACGAUGGUGUGUUUUCUAAAUAGAAGAGUAGGCUUAAGUGAUCAAAACUAAGAGUAACUCAUUCCUUAUACAUAGAGUCUAACCAUCACAAGUUCAAAAUAAUGGAUUGGACUUUACCUUUAAUCAAUAUAAUAACUUCUUCAUAACCUCUCUAUACUGUUAAAAACAGAUAAAAAUAUUGGCUUAAUGGAUUUAUGUUCCUUAAAAAUAGAAAUUUAAAAUGCUAUAAUAUUUAUUUUAUAAUUAAAAUAAUUCUAACAACUUCAUCUUCUAAGAUUUUCCAAAACUUUUUUAAUUUUAAAAUUUUAUAAUUUAUCCAAACAUUAAAAAUAACAAAAGUAUGAAACCCCUUCUCACUAACAGUAUUUUGAUAAAAAGAAAAUAUAUUUGUAUGCAAUAUUAUUAGGUAAUUUAUAUUUGAAUUCUUAAAUAUUUAUGUAUUAGGAGUAAAAAUAUUUAUAAAUUUUAUAUAUUUUUUGUAUUUAUGAGUAAAAAAAACAUUUAUAUGUAAUACAGUAUAUUAUAAUUUUUUUUUCAUAAUUUGAUAAACCAUAAAAUGGGUUGGACUAGUUCUAUUUUUUUUUCUUUUUAUGUAUUUAAAGAAGCUUUCAAACAUUUUUUGGUCGUCUCUCAUUUAAUUUUAGCUCCUAAAUUACGUUUCUUUUUUUUUUUAAAAAAAAAGAUACAAAAUAUGUUACUGAUUUUGACAACUCAAUCUGAUUUUAUAUUAUAGAAAAUUUAAACUUUGAUAUAGGUUCAUCUCUACUUCUGCCAUGUCACCAUCAUCAAUUGGAACAACUUCUCUUUUACUUUGAAUCAUUAUUGCUUAUCUAUCUCCACACUAAAAAUCAAAAUUGGUUUCAUUUCUCUUGGAGUUUGAUUUUCAUUAUUUUCAAUUGAGUGUUUCACAUCCAAAUACACAUAUAUUAAUUAUAUUCUCAUCUUGAAGUCAAAUUAUGAUAUAUCAUACGAACACUUCAACAAAUUUAUUUGCUUUAUAACUUCAUAAAAUAGUUCUAAGCUUAAUAAUUUGAUGGAUGAUUUAAUCUAAACUUUUUUUUUAUCAAAUGUUAGAAAGGUCUUAAAAAUUGCUUCUUCACUUACUUAAAUGCUUUUAGUCAACCUUAUAUCUUUCUCAAAUUUAUCUAUCAUCAAUAACUGAAAUUCACAAUUUACUCAUUUUUAAAGUCUUAAUUUGAAAAAUAAAUCUUUAUAUUUACAUAUUUUCAUAAGUUGAUUAUUCUUAAUUAUAUGCAUAUGUACCUACAAAAUUUCAAUAUCUUCAUUAUAUCAUAUUUACGAAAUUUGAUUCAAUGGUAUAGUAUAAAAUGAUUUAGGUUAAAUCAUAUCAUUUGUUUCAGUUUUUUUGGAGAGAUAUCAAAUUAGUCCUUUUUUUAUACAUCUCAGUUUGUUUCUUAUUUUAGAAAAUUUGAUGCAAUCAAGUCUUUUAAAUUAGUAUUGUACUAACAACGUUAAAGGGAUAUCAUGUGUUAGUUCAUAGAUUUUUUAAUUUUUCAAUUUAUUUUUUCAAUUUUUAAAUUUUCUUUUAAAGGUAAAAAAUUAUUUCAUGUCAAACUAAUGUCGGAUAACAUAACAAUAAUAAUUUCACGUGUAUAUGUAUCAUUGUUUUAGUCACAUGUUAGUCCCAGUAUCUUUAUUUUAUCUAAAUUUAAUUCCAUUUUUUUUUUUAAAAAUCAAUCAAUUUUUCAUUUCUCUUUAAAUUAAAAUCAAAUUUAAUUUUUAUAUAAAUGUUAUAUAAAUAUUUUUAUUAAAUUUGAUAUUUUUAUUAAAUUUUUUUAACAAUAUUAAGUUUAUUUAUAUUUAUUUUAUUUUGAAUUUUAUUUAAAAUUGUUUUUAAAUUUUAAAUUUGUUUGUUUUAAAUUUUUAUAAAACUAUUUUCAAAUUUUACAUUUAUAUUUAUAAAAUUGUUUUCAAAGGACUUGUUCUCUUGAUCAAACUUUUUUUAACAAGAAAUGUUAAGUUUUUUCUAAACCAUAUGGAAUUGUGUCAGUUUUUUCUCUAUAUAUUAUAUAUUUUUAUCUUUUUAAAUUAUUGUCCCUUUCAAAAAUUAUUUCUUAGUUUCAAAUUGAUGUAUAUUUUAAAGUUAUUAUUCUUUCCUACACGUUAUACAGCUUAGAUUAUUCCAACACAUAAGAUAAAAAACUUGAAUGUGAGGGGUUGGCCUAACAAUGAUAUUUGAGUGAGUGACUGUUAAGUGAAUGGUUAAGACUCUGUCAAACAAUGAGUUCGGUUUUUAAAGUCAAGACAGAGAUAAUACAUUUAAUGUGAACUUGACUAUUUAUACUCUUUAAAUUAGAUUAUAAUAUUAAUUUUCUUAUAAAAUAAUUCUUGGUUGUCAGAAAAAGGAAGUUAAAUAAAAUAAUUAAAAGUGAUUUAAGGAGUCAGUAAAUUCAAAAAAUUAUUUUGAUAAAUAAAGUUAACAAUUUGUUUAAAUAGAUUAUUGUCGUUUAUUACAUGAGGAAAAUCAAUAACUCGAUCUCUAAAAUAGUUUUGUUUAUGAUUGAUGUGUGGUGUUCUAAUUUUGUAAUCCAUAUAUGACUUUAAAAGUCUUUUUGAUUUCAUUUUCUGCAUUUCCUUGUCAUAAUUUGAUAAACCAUGAAAUGGGUUGGACUAGUUCUAUUUUUUUUUCUUUUUAUGUUAUUAAUCUCCUUAAUUUUCUAACUUAUAAAAUGGACAAGCCUUCCAUACAUUUUUUGGUCGUCUCUCUAAUUAAAUUUUAGCACCUAAAUUACGUUUCCUCUUCUCUAUUAAAUUGGUAGACUUAAAAAAAAUACAAAAUAUUUUACUGUUUUUGACAACUCAAUUUGAUUUUAUACUACAGAAAAUUUAAAUUAUUUACUAAUAUUGCUGGAUCUGAAACCGGGCUUUUUUGUGUUUUCAGAUAGAUUUUUUAUUCUAGUUAUAAAAAACAUUCAAGUCACUACAUAAAUUUUGUCACUUUGUCACUUUUCAAAAUAUGGAUACUCUAAAUUCCUAUUAAAAUAUUAAACAAUAACAGAAAAAAAAAAAAAAAAAAAAACUUGUUAGAUAUAAAGCGUAAACAUAAAAAGGCAUUACAGCAGUAUAUAUAGGUUAUUUCCUAUGCAUAACCCGUAAGCACUUUUUUUUAUAAUGAAACAAAAAGCACUUGUUAAAAUGAAUUCCUUCCUUCUGAUUAUCGUCUUUGUUCAUCUUUGUUGGGUUUCUCUAAGUGUGAGCGUAGAGACAAUGUGCAUUGGAAGUGAGAGAGAGAUACUAUUGAAGUUGAAGCAUGAUCUCAUUGAUCCUUCAAAUAGACUUUCUUCUUGGAAUGUUUCUCUCAAUCCCAAUUGUUGCCACUGGUAUGGAGUUCUCUGCAACAACAUCACAUCUCAUGUUGCAGAGCUUCACCUCACCACUCCAUAUCCUCUUUACGAUGAGAUCCUAGAUGAUGUUGUUUAUGACGAAGCAUACGAAGAGUACAAUAGAAGGGCAUUCAGUGGAGAGAUAAAUCCUUGUUUGGUUGAUUUGAAGCAUUUGAAUUACUUGGAUUUCAGCGGCAAUCAAUUUUAUGAGAAGUCAUUUCCUUCUUUCAUAGCAACAAUGACUUCCUUAACUCACCUCAACCUUUCUAAUGCUGGAUUCACGGGGAACAUUCCUCCUCAGAUUGGAAAUCUCUCCAAUUUACUGUAUCUUGAUUUAAGUGAUGCUGCCAGUGGAAGAAUUCCUCCUCAGAUAAGAAAUCUCUCCAACUUGCUCCACCUCGACCUCGGAGGAUAUUAUGAUUAUGAAGAUGUUGAUUGGCUGUCAAGUCUUUCCAAGCUUUGUUAUCUUGACUUGGAGAACACUAAUCCACUUGUAGGAGGUAUGUCAUUUCCUUCUUUUCUUGGCUCAAUGACCAACUUAAUUCACUUGGACCUCUCUUAUUCUGGAUUUAUGGGCAACAUUCCUCCCCAGAUUGGUAAUCUUUCCAAUUUGGCUUAUCUAGAUUUAAGUUAUGCUGCUAAUGGAAUUAUUCCCUCUCAAAUUGGGAAUCUCUCCAACUUGCUUUACCUUGAUCUUCAAAGUGGUUAUUCUAUUGAGAACACUUUGUUUGUUAGAAAUGUUGAUUGGUUAUCAAGUCUUUCAAAACUUGGAUAUCUUGAUUUGAGAGGUGCAAACCUAUCCCAAUCAUUUCAAUUGCUUCAUACCCUCCAACUUCUUUCUUCUUUGAAGCACUUACAUUUGUCAGGAUGUACACUCUCUUCGUAUAAUCAACCAUCCUUUGUUAACUUUUCGUCUCUCAUCACUCUUGAUCUUUCCUAUAUUUCUUAUCAUUCUACAAUUUCUUUUAUUCCAAAGUGGGUAUUUGGACUCAAAAAACUUGUUUCUCUUUUCUUAGAUAAUAACUACUUUGAAGGUCCAAUUCCCGAUGGUAUUCGAAACCUCACACUUCUUGAAAAUCUUGAUUUGCGUGGAAAUUCAUUAUCAUCUUCUAUACCUCAUUGGCUUUUUGGUGUUCUUUCUCAUCUCAAGUUCUUGGACCUAUCAAGUAACAACUUACAAGGAGUUAUUCCUGAUGCCUUAGGGAGCUUGACUUCUCUAAUUGCACUUUAUAUGGAAGAAAAUCAACUCAAAGGUCCAAUCCCAACUUCUUUAGGAAAGGUGACCUCUCUAGUUACACUUGAUUUAUCAUACAAUCAACUUUCAGGCAAUCUAACACUAGAUUAUUAUGGCAACAACGUUGGUGGUGAACAUCCAAAAUUACAUGGAAAAAUUUCAUCACUGAGAGUUCUUAGGUUGUCCUCAAAUCAACUUGGUGGAAAUCCAUUUAAAAGUCUUGGAUCACUCUCUAAGUUGUUAUACCUUGACAUUGAUGACAAUAAUUUUCAAGGAGUUGUCAAUGAAAGUCAUCUUGAAAAUCUUAUAUGCUUGAGAUCGUUUCAUGCAUCAGGAAACAAAUUGACUUUAAAAGUAGAUCGUAAUUGGCAUCCUACUUUCCAACUUACCAAUCUUGAUAUGAGCUCUUGGCAAUUAGGUCCUAAUUUUCCAUCAUGGACUCACUCACAAAAUGAACUUCUAUAUUUGAAGAUGUCUAAUACAGGGAUUCUAGAUUAUAUUCCACCUUAUUUCUGGGAGGCUUGUUAUUCUCUUGAAUAUUUAAACUUCUCUAAUAACUAUAUUCAUGGUAAGAUUGAAAAUUCAUUGUCAAAUCCAAUAUUAUUUGAGAUUGUUGAUCUAAGCUCAAAUCACUUGCAUGGAAAGUUACCGAUUUUUUCUAGUCAGGUUGGAUGGCUAGAUCUCUCAGAUAAUUCAUUUUCUUCCAUGAAUGAUUUCUUAUGUCGCAAGAAAAUUAAGAAAUUUAAUUUGUAUUAUCUCAAUCUUGCUUUGAAUAACUUAUCGGGAAAAAUUCCUGAUUGUUGGAUAAAGUGGCCAUAUUUGUUAAAUGUAAAUCUACAGAGCAACCUUUUUGUUGGGAACAUGCCCUUAUCCAUGGGCUCUUUAGUUUGGUUACAGUCUUUGAACAUCCGUAACAACUCAUUAUCAGGAAUAUUUCCUAUUGCUUUGAAGAAGAACAACAAAUUGAUAUCCUUGGACAUUGGAGAAAAUAAUCUUUCGGGAACUAUUCCAACAUGGAUUGGAGAAAAGUUGCCAGAAAUAAAAAUUCUUCGCCUUCGAUCAAACAAUUUUUCAGGUCAUAUUCCAAAUGGCAUAUGUGAUAUGAUAUUUCUUCAGGAUUUUGACCUUGCACAAAAUAGUUUGUCUGGAAAUAUUCCAAAUUGUUUAAACAACUUUAGUGCCAUGUUCAAAAAAAACAAAAGUACAUAUUCAACUAUUGAUACCAAUGAGGUGAUUCCGGAUGUAAUCAGUAUUAUCAUAUGGACAAAAGGAAGGGCUUUAUUGUAUAAGAGUAUUCUUGGCUUGGUGACAAAUGUUGAUCUUUCUAAUAAUAAGUUAUCAGGAGAGAUACCUAGAGAAAUUACAUAUCUAGAUGGUUUGAUAUAUUUGAAUUUAUCUAGGAAUCAAUUGUCUGGCCAAAUUCCACCAAGUAUUGACAAUAUGAGAUCAUUAGAAUCCAUUGAUCUAUCGAGGAAUCAAUUAUCAGGAAAAAUCCCUCCAACCAUAUCAAAUUUGAGCUUUCUCAACAACCUAGAUUUAUCUCAUAACCAUUUAGAGGGGGAAAUUCCAACGGGCACUCAAAUUCAAAGCUUUGAAACAUCAGACUUUGUUGGAAAUAAUUUAUGUGGUCCACCCCUACCCAUCAAUUGUAGUUCCAACCAGGAAAUUCCAUAUGUUGACCGCUCGAAAACAGAAAAUGGUGGGCAUGGAGUGAAUUGGUUCUUAGUGAGCUUCACAAUUGGAUUUAUUGUGGGAUUUUGGAUAGUUAUUGCUCCUUUGUUAAUUUAUAGAUCAUGGAGGUAUGCAUAUUUUUCCUUCCUCGAUAACAUGUUCUAUAAAGUACGAUCAUAUUGGUGAUUGUUGAUUUGUAAUGUAGCACUAUUGUUUUAUUUGACAUUCAUCUAUCUAUCUCUGUAUGAAUGUGUGGUCUACAUUUAUGUUUGUGUUAACAUGUUUUUGUAUUUUCUUCAUCUUAAAAUGCCAAAAAGUUUAUGUUUUUCGUGUUUCUUAAUUGCAGUAUUAGUAUGUCGUGUUUCGGUAUUAUUUUAAUGAUCUAAUUCUUAUUUUAUUCUCUUUCUUUUCUCGUACCAUGGUUAAAUGUAUUUUCUUCUAAUAGUUCUACUAGAAUAAAAUGCAAUAGAUAUAUUUUGUCUCUGCUAUUGUUUUUAGGAUGCACAUAUCAUCAUCAUUAUUUUAGGAUAUCCUAUUAGGUCACAUUUUUUAUUAAACAAAUUUAGGAAAAGUUGCUUAUCUUUUAUAAAAUUCUAAAAAAAAAAUAGAAAACCUUAUAUUUCUUAAAAGAAAAUAGCACAGUCUAAAAUAAAUUUAUAAAUUUGCUAGUUUUUUUUGUCAACAUUGUUGUUAGUUGUGUGGGCCACAACUUAUGCUUGCAGGGCUGUAUCAAUUUUGACACGGCGUUUUCUAUUUGUAGGUUUAUAAGUUUAUAUACUCAUACAAGAAAAUUUCCAUUUUAUCCUUUUUAGUACAAUUUAAAUUAUGUGAUUGAUCGUUCUGAUAGAAAUGAUUUCUUAAUUUGACAAAGGAAAAAAAAAAAUUAUAACAAUGGAUAUCUAUCUAUAUAUACAUAGAUUAAAAAAAUACAUAUAAAUAGAAAAUAUAAUAAAAAUAUAAAUAGUGCCUCUUAUCUUUAACCAAUUAUUUGCUAAAAUUUAAUUAUAGGGGUAAAAGCUGUAACUUGUUUUCAAUAUUCAGCAUCUUGAUUAAAUUAACACUUCGCAACUUCUGAGUCUCUUUGUUGAAUCACAUGUUUUUUUCUAGAAAAUAGGUGAACUAAUUCUUUUCUUUAGAACUAUAUUGGAAAAUUUCUUGAUCCAUAUGACUCAAUUGUUUCCAUAUUUUACUUCUACAUAAAAACUCUGACUAUGUAUAUAUAUAAAAAAAAUACUUUUGAAUUGCGUAAUUCAAAGUAUAAAAAAUAUCAAAUUGUAUAUGGUUCAAAAGUAAUUUAAUAAAGACAAUCUCAUACUUAGGUAGUAUGAUUUGAACUCUUUUAUUUUUUAAUUUUGUAACAUUAGCACAUAUUUGUCUUUUUAAUUAGUUUUAUAUAUUUUUAUUUUAAAGAAAACCAAACAUACAAAGAUAUAGUGGUAAUUUUAUAAAUUUUAAGAACUUAUUAGCCCCAAUUGCACGGGAACCGAAGCUAUAUACCCAUUUGGUAUCGAUUAUUAAAAAGUCGAGGCUAAAAAGUAAGAAAUUUUCAAAAUUUUUUUAAAUUUCACUUUUUUUUAAUUAUUUUAUAUGGGAAAGGAAAUUUGGUUUCGAUUAUCAAAUAAUCGAAAUCAUACACCCUUUUCUGCCUCGGUUACCCACCAAUUAAGGUCAAUAGGUAUAUGAAAUUUUCAAAAUUCCUGCUAUUCUUUUAAUUAUUUUAUCUUAAGGAGAAAACUUUUUUGCUUCGGUUCUCAAAUAAUUGAAGUAACACACAUCCUUUUUCUACUUUGUGAAUUUUUAAAAUUUUCAUUAUUUUUUUAAUUAUUUUAUUUAUAGGUAGAGAUUUGGCAUAAUUUUCUAUUUCAAUUCUCCAACAAUCAAGGUAGAAAGAUGUGUGAAAAUUUUCAAAAUUUUAAAAAUAUUUGAUUUCGGUUUCUUUAAGAAUCAAGGCCAAAUAUUCUAUUUUUCCUUGGUUCUUGUAAGAAUUGAAACUAUACAUCAUGUUCUACUUUAGUUGUUAAAGAAUCGAGAUCAAAAUGUGUCAAAAAAAUUUCAAAAUUUUAACAGUAUUUCACUAAAAAUAAAACAUGUAUUAUAUACAAUCAAAUUCUAUCAAAUGUAAAAUUUGGCGGUAAUAACUUUCUUCGAUGAACUGAAAUUUGUUAGUAAAAAUGCAAUUAGUAAACAUUCAAUUAGUAAAACCACUUCAUCUUCAUUCCCAUCACUUUGUUUUUGUCAAUUUUUGUGUUCUCCUAGGAAUAACUAAUCUUUAAGGUGACGGAUUUUCAUCAAAUGUUUUAGGAGUCUCGAAAUAUAUAGUAUAAACAUUUUUGGAAUGACAAAUAUAUAAACUAUAUUAAAAAAUAUUAAAAUUUAAAAAAAAAAAUAGUUUAGAUUAUAUAUAAAUAUAAAAAAAAAAUAGGGGGAAGAGGGCCAAGGUUCUCUAUGUCACAUCUAAAGUCUGCCUCUGCCUCUCUAUUCAUUAGUAUUGAAUAUAAUAUAUUCAACUAGAAUAUUUGGAUUUUUAACGAUGAAGGAUAAUUUUAUAUCACCAAACCUUCCUGAACUAUCAAACAAUCUAUAACUCUUAAUCAAGAUUUUAUUGAAUAACAUCAGUUGAAUUUAAUUCCACCAUCUUAAGUAAUAUUACCUUAUAUGUUUUGAAAAUAAAAGAAAAGAGUGGAAGAAGAAUAAUCUGUGUAAGUUGCUAUUCUUCAGCCCGAAAAUAUUCUUAGGACCAUAAAGAAAGAAAAUGCAGACAAAAUGAGAAAGACUUUUGAGGUAAAUAUUGUGUUGACGUAGAAUUUAAAAAAGCUUUUCACGCUUCUUUUUAGGUUUCUCUAUUUUUUUUACACCUAAAAUCACGUUGCUUCUCGUCAAUUUUCUAACCCAUAUAAUGGGAGCAUAGCUUUAAAAUUAAAGCAUAUAAGAUAAUGAAUUAUUUUUUUCAAAAUGCAAGAGUGUCCCUCCUCCUAGCACACAAAAAAUCAAAGAGUCUGCAUAGAAAAGUUAUGAGACCAUAAAACAAAUAUUUUACACUUUAUUCAUUUUUUGUGUAAAAAAUUGUAAAUUUAACUUCACAUUCAGUUAAAAAUAGACAAUGAAGGAAUUUAUCUCAGUUGAUUGAAACGUAUUUGAAAAUAAAAUAAAAAGUGUGGAAGAAGAAUGUUAGUCUCUGUAGGUUCUUAUUGUUUAGCUCCAAACAGGCAGAAAAAAAAAAGACAAAAAUUCACACUUCCUCUCUCUUUAGUAAUUUUUAGCAGCUAAAGUGAGUUGCUCCUGGUCAAUUAGGUUGAUACAAAUUACGUUACUGAUUUGGACAUGUAAAUUCAAUUUUAUAAAUUUAGCAUAUAAAAAUUAAACUGUUAGAUAGAUAGCGUAAUACAAACUUUCAGGGGAGAAGCUCAAGGGAGAAGAAAAAAAAAUUCAGCCUGUUCUAUGUUUCUUCUCUUUUUAAAAGAAAAAUAUUACUUUAGGUAUGUUCUUCUCACUGUCGAAUGAGCUUAUGUCUUGCUAGAUAAAAAAAGACUUACUGGCCGAGGUGGAUUUGUGAUUUGAGAGAAUCUUAGAAAAGUUUUCCAAUUUAUUUCAAGCGUUCAAUUCUCUACAAAAAUUCAAAAAAAAAAAAAGCUAAUUACUUCUAUUUUUAUAAUAAGACAUUUACAUCUAAUUUUUAUAAUGAAAUAAACACAAAAUGCAUGGCAGAAAGAUAAAUAAGAUGUUUUAACAAAUAUAAAAAAUAAGUAAUUAUCGCAUUUAUAAUUUCUUCUACAAAACAAGUUAAAUAAUAUAAAAAUGUAAACAGAAGCAUAGAAGAAAUUCUUUACCUAUUUUUUCUUUGGAGUAUUUAAGAAGUGUUUCAAAGGGUGCAUAAGAAAUUCAAAUAUGAAAUUGGGAGUCUUACAUUUAAUGAAAAUGAAGGAAAAAAAUAAUAUAUAAAAUAAUAUUUAUAAACUUUCUUAAUAUAUAAACAGAGGAGGAAAAACUGAAAAGGCAUUAUAACUUAAUAGCCUCCCCCAAGCUUGAGUGUGUAUGCAGAACAUAUUUUAAAGUCAGACGAUUGAAUGAGCAGAAGAUUAAAGUCAGAGGAACAAAACUCUUGUCCAUUAUGUGUUCUUAUUACUUUGAUGCCUCUGUUAAACUGAUUCUUUAUUAACACAAAAUUAUUCAUCAAGUUUCUAGUCUCACCUUUAUUUUUCAUUGGAUAGAUCCACGUAUGUCUUGUAUAGUCAUCCACGAUAGAGAGAAAAAACCUGUGACCAUACUAAAAGGACCUCAAAUGUAUGUCUAUGUGCACAAGAUAAAAAAUAUCAUUACUGCUAGUCUGACAAAGAGGAAAGGAGAGUCUGUGUUGUUUUGCUAAGUGACAUGGAGCGCAAACAUUAGUACUAUUAAAACAUAUAUCAUCAUAACUUUUGGAUAAUUGUUCAAGAAUCUUAUUUGAGGGGUGUCCCAGUCUACAAUGCCUGAGAUCAAGAGAAUCAACAUGUUUAAAAGUAUCAUCGUUAUGCACAAGAAAUAUAGCAUUUUUCAAGCAGCUAGUCAAAUGGUAAAGGUGGCCUUUGAACAGAUAUAAAUUUAAUGUGAAUUCAGGUAUACUUAGUACUGAUGUAUGGUAAUUUGAUCAGUUAAUUGAACAUCAAUGAAGGCUUAUUUUCGAGGGCUUAUUGUCCUUCGGUAAUGCCUGUGAUGCUUUUUCAUAUGCGCACCACAUCUUCAUUUAGCCUUUCUUUGGAUAUUUCUAAGGGCCUUUUGUCCUUCCGUAAUGCUUGCGAUGCCUCUUUAUAUGUUAGGAUUUAAUAUAUGUUAAGAUUUAAUAUCUUGUUAGGAUUUAAUAUAUGUUAAGAUUUAAUAUCUUGUUAGGUUUUAAGAUCUUGUUUGUUAUUAUUUUUGUUUGUUAUUAUUCUUUGUAUAUUGCUGAUAGAUUAGAUAGUUAUAACUAAUUCUUUUAUAAUCAUAAUGUAUAAAUAUUUGUAUCUGCAUUACGCAGAAUUAAAAUAAUACACAGAUCAUUCUUUGUUUCUCUGUUUUUCCUCUCAGCAUGAUUCUCAUUAUUUAAGAUGGUAUCAGAGCUCUUCAAUUGAAGAGUUCUGCUGUGCCUCUGAUCUUCAUUCGAUGCUUUCUCCUUCUUGAUUUCUUUGUGUUUUUUACCAAACCAACUCAUGGCUGUCAUUGAUCAUUACCACACGAUUGAAAAUUGUUACAAAAAGAAUGACUAUCCAUUAGGAUCUUCAGGAUUCUCCUACAACAAAGGGAUAAGAGGAGGUCGAGGUUAUUCAUCAAAUAAAGGAGGCUUUGGCAGAAGAUCAAAUUCAAGUUCAUACAACUCAAAGAUUUGCACUUUUUGCAAUAUCACUGAACACACUCUUAAUGAAUUUUUUAAGAAGCAUGGUUACCCUCCUAGGCAUAAACUGCACAGACCUGUUAUCACUCCUCAACAAUAUCAACAUUUGAUAACCCUCCUGCAACAACAAACACAAUUGAGAUCCUUUACAACUACUUCCCACAUCAAUCAAACUGGUACAACUUUCUCUCAAAAUACUUCUUUUAUAGGUAAUGUGCUACCAAUUUCUCAUGCUACAGACCAUGCCAUGUGGAUUAUAGAUUCAGGAGCCAGUGAUCAUGUAACUUCUUCCUUACAUUUAUAUUCAUCCUAUAAGGCUAUUGAUCCCAUCACAGUAAAACUACCAAAUGGACAACAAACCAUAGCCUCAUAUUCUGGAAUAGUAAAGAUUAAUGAUUCUUUGUCUAUUUCUAAUGUCCUAUAUCUUCCAUAAUUUAAUUUCAAUCUUAUAUCUGCUUCCAAGCUUACCACAACCCAUAAUUGUCAACUAAUAUUUCUUGAAAAUCAAUGUUUUAUACAAGACAGACACACCAAGAGGAUGAUUGGUAUAAUUGAUGCUCAAGAUGGGUUGUAUACACUCAAGACCUCUUUUAGCUCCACCAACACCACAAUUUGAAAUAAGGAAGCCAUUGAUAUUUGGCAUUACAGAUUAGGCCACCCCUCCCAUGAGAGAUUACGUGUAAUGCAACAAUUAUAUCCUGUGAUUAAUUUUGAUCACACUUUUAUUUGUACUCCUUGUCAUAUGGCUAAACAAAGAAAACCUUCUUUUCCUUAUAGUACUUCUCAAGCUUCUUCUAUUUUUUCUUUAUUACAUGUUGAUAUUUGGGGCCCUUGUGCUACUACUUCCAUUCAUGGUCAUAAAUAUUUUUUAACCAUUGUUGAUGAUUUUUCUAGAUAUGUAUGAGUGUUUCCUUUAAUCUCAAAAGCUAAAACUCAAUCACAUUUACAAUCUUUCACUACCUAUGUUGGAAGACAGUUUAAAACUAAGGUCCUAAGCAUUAGAUCUGACAAUGGAACUGAGUUUAUUAUGGCUGAAUUUUAUAAAAAUACUAGAAUUGUUCAUCAAACAACUUGUGUGGCAACCCCCCAGCAAAAUGGCUUAGUUGAGAGGAAACACCAGCACUUAUUAAAUGUUACCCGCUCCCUCCUUUUUCAAGCACACUUACCAAACAUUUUCUGGGCUUAUGCUCUUAUUCAUGCCUCUACCCUCAUAAAUUGCCUUCCCACUCCUCUCCUAAAUAACCAUUCUCCACACCAAAAAGUAUACAGUUCUCCUUUUGAUAUUACCACUCUUAAACUUGAUCCAAGAGCCUUACCCGCUAUUUUCCUUGGCUAUAAACCACACAAAAAAGGCUUCAUCACCUUCAACCUCAAAAUCAGGGCCAUUGAGAUUUCUAGAAAUGUUGUCUUUCAUGAAAGUUGUUUUCCCUACCACAAUGAGUCAUACACCACUCCUAAUUCCCACCUUGUCACCCACCCACCUUUGCUCUAUAUUGACCAAUGUAUGCCUAGUUCUCAUACAGAUACUUCGCAUCCUUCUCCACCCGGUUCACCUCCCACCCUACCUGAUCAAUGUAUGCCCACAUCUCAUACAGAUACUUCGCAUCCUUCUCCACCCAGUUCACCUCCUACACUACCUGCUCCUAAUAUUAGAAGAUCCACCCGACAGAAAUACAGACCUUCAAGACUAUCUGAAUUUGAAAUGUCUUAUGCAUCAACUAUUACCUCUUAUUCUUUAGGUAUCAAACAUCCUCUUGCUUUUGUCAUUUCAUAUAAGAAACUUGCAGCACCUUACUAUAGAUUUAUUAUGCAAAUCUCUACUAACAUUGAGCCUAGAUCUUAUUCUGAGGUAUCCAAGUAUCCUCACUGGGUUAGAGCCAUGGAUGACGAGCUUGCUGCAUUGGCCCAAAAUGACACUUGGAAAAUCACAGAUUUACCUGCUGACAAAACUGUAGUAGGCUGCAAAUGGGUUUUCAAAAUCAAAGACAAGGCUGAUGGAAGCAUUGAAAGAUAUAAAGCUAGAUUGGUAGCCAAGGGUUACACUCAAAUUGAAGGUUAAGACUAUCUAGAUACCUUUUCUCCUGUGGUUAAAAUCACAACGGUUAGACUUGUUAUAGUUCUUGCGGCAGCACAUAAUUGACAUCUUAAGAAACUACAUGUUAAUAAUGUUUUUCUUCAUGGUACAUUAAAUGAAGAAGUUUAUAUGAUACCUCCUCCAAGGCUCAACUUUAUCAAACCAAAUCAAGUAUGCAAGUUACAAAAAUCACUUUAUGAUCUUAAACAAGCAGGUAGACAGUGGUAUGCUCGUUUAUCUGAUUUCCUCUUGUCUAAUGGCUUUCUCCAAUCUCCAUCUGAUCAUUCCUUGUUCACAAAACAUUUUGAUUCCAAUGUCACUAUUUUAGUGAUUUAUGUUGAUGAUAUAGUACUCAUAGGCAAUGAUCUAACAGAUCACUCAUAUUACUCAUCUUCUUGACGCAACAUUUAAGAUUAAAGAUCUUGACAAUCUUAAAUUCUUUCUUGGUCUUGAAGUGGCUAGAAAGAAAGAAGGUAUUUGCAUUUCCCAGAGACAAUAUACUCUGGACAUUCUCAAAGAUGAAGCAUACUUAAACUCUAAGCCCGUUUCCACUCCUUGUGAUUACCGUACAAAGCUCAGCACAAAUUCUGGCCAACCUCUAAAUGAUGCAGCUUCAUCUUCUUAUAGAUGAUUAGUUGGUAGAUUAUUAUAUCUCACCAACAUUAGACCAGAUAUUUCAUUUGCAGUACAACAACUAAGUCAGUUUCUCUCAAAUCCUAGCACAAAUCAUCAACAAGCAGCUUCCAGGAUUCUUAGAUACCUUAAAGGUGCCUCUGGAAAAGGGAUUUUCUUUCCCAGCGAUAACAUUACAGUUGAAAGGCUUUAGCAAUUCUGAUUGGGCAGGCUGCAUUGAUACCAGACGAAGUAUCACUGGUUACUCUAUCUAUCUUAGUUCUUCAAUUAUUUCAUGGAAAUCGAAGAAACAUGCCACUGUAUCCAAAAGUUCCUCAGAAGCUGAAUACAGAGCUCUUGCCACAGCUACUUGUGAAAUUCAAUGGUUAACUUUUCUUCUACAGGAUCUUCACAUAACUUUUCAACAACCAGCAGUCUUGUUUUGUGAUAACACAUCUGCCCUUCAUAUUGCUGCAAAUCCAGUUUUCCAUGAACGCACAAAACACAUUGAAAUAGAUUGUCAUAUUGUAAGGGAAAAGCUUUCUUCUAGCUUACCUAAACUACUGCCAAUUCCUUUUGCAUGUCAGUUAGCUGAUAUUACUCCAAAGGACUUUCUCCAGCAGCUUUCAAAUUUCUGGUUUCCAAGUUGGGAAUGAUUGACAUUCAUUCUCCAGCUUGAGGGGGACUGUUAGGAUUUAAUAUAUGUUAAGAUUUAAUAUCUUGUUAGGAUUUAAUAUAUGUUAAGAUUUAAUAUCUUGUUUGGUUUUAAGAUCUUGUUUGUUAUUAUUUUUGUUUGUUAUUAUUCUUUGUAUACUGCUGAUAGAUUAGAUAGAGUUAUAACUAAUUCCGUUAUAAUCUUGAUGUAUAAAUAUUUGUAUCUGCAUUAUGCAGAAUUAAGAUAAUACACAAAUCAUUCUUUGCUUCUUUUUUUUCCUCUCGGCAUAAUUCUUAUUAUUUAAGACUAUAUGCGAACCACCUCUUCAUUUAGCCAUUCUCUGGAGAGAUCCACCCGCACACAUUUCUUUUUCUCACGAACCUUCGCUCGUCUCCGAUCCAUAUUUCGAGCUCCUCCGCCUCAGAUCUUAAUAUGCCAGCCACGGUUAGUCUCUAGAUCUUCACUUUCCUGUACAUUUCUCCCUUACCUAUCCUCUCUGUUCUAUCUUCACUUUUGCUUGAUUAAAACCUCUUUUUGUUCCAUUCCAUCGAUUCAAUCGUUGAAUCCAUUCGCUCCACCAAUCAAAACGUCCCAAAUCCCCAACUCUAGAAUGUAUACCGAUCAAACCAUUCAAUCUAGGGUUUGCCUCCGUUGUCCGUCAUUCGUUGUUCUUCUUCUUCGAUUAGCUCGAUCUGUGUCAAUUUCCAUGGUUCCUCGUCGAUCCGCCUCGACCUGGAGCUAUCAAGUGGUAUUUAGAGCCUAAGUUAGGCGUGUAUGCACGAAGCUAAGUAUUUUCUUUGCCUUUCCAAGUUGUCUUCGAUUAAUUGUCUUGAUCUGUUUUGGUCUUGUAUUGAAACUUUAGCACAUGGAUUGAAAAAUACAAUUUUUUUUCUUAUUAUCAUCAAUACCCUGUAUGAAAUGUCUAUUGUGCUCAUGUGAAAACAAUAAGUUUCUACAUUAGAUUGCUUUACAUUAUUUUAUGCUUUUUGAUAUUUAUGUUCAAUUUUGGCGUGUUGAGGGCGUUGUAGUGAAAUGGUGUUGGCUGAUGCGUAGUGGUCAAUUGCCACAACAAAAGGUCAUGUUUUGGCUGGUGCGUACUUCAUCUUGGGUAGAGCUGUCAAAACGGGUAACCCGGCUCGACCCGGCCCGGCCCACCACGGAUUGGUCACUUAGUGGGUAAGUGGGUUGGCUCACUGGCCCACUUAAUUACAAUUCUUUUUAAAUAAAAAAAAAUUACAAACUUUCUAUAAUUCAAAUCUAAACAAAUUUCACUCCCAAAUUUCACUUCCAACAUGGAUGUUUAACUAAUUUUGAAAAUAUGGAACUUAAAUAAUUUUCUCAAGCAAAAAAAAAUAUUUUUUAUAAAAUUAAAAUUAAAUUUUAAUAAAAUAAAAUUAGGUAAGCGGGUUGGUGCGCCAACCCGGCCCACCACGGGUUCAACCCGCAUGAGUUGGGUUUAAAUGAGCCGGGUUGAAAUCUGACCCGCAUAAAAAAAAUAUAAUUUUUUCAAACCCAACCCGGGCCGAACCCGUGACAGGCCGGGUUGGCCCGCGGGUUGUGACUCAUUUUGACAGCUCUAAUCUUGGGUAUGCAAGCUUUAGGAGUGAGUAAACGUUAUUUGAUGAGAUGAUUCUAGUAUAUGAUAUUAUAAAGUGCAUUUGUACUUGUCGUGGUGCCUCGUUAACAUAUUAAGGGUGUCUCUAUUGUGAAUCCUUCCUGUCUAUUCUCUUGAAUCCUUCUGGUGGUUAUUUAAGGGUUAAUAGUUUAUGUAUUUAUGGAUUAAAGUUGACUGAAAUUAACUAGAUGCUAUCUUGGGAAUUUUUUUGGAGACUGGUACAAUUUUGAUAUGUGACUGAUUUUUUUUUCCUGUGUUUCUUAGAGAUAAGAAAUAUAAAAGUGGAUAUGUGUACUCUGUUCUACAUGUGUAGUGAUGAUAAAAUCUGGAAUGAUUGGGUUAAAUCGUGUAAAAAGAGUGUUUUUUUUCUACACACUUUGAUGGUUAACUUCUUGUGGCUACUUUGCUUAUACAAAGAAACAAUUUUAUUUGUUGAAGGGUGUUUUAUUUGCUUGUUCAAGGAAACACUUUGAUUUUUAUGGUUAACUUCUUUUCUCGUGGCUACUGUGAUGCAUUGAAACACAAGAAUUGAAACAACCUUUGGAAUGGUUGAGACUGGGAGAGGUGUCUUUGUUUAGCCUAGUGAUAACCAAUUUCACCCAUUAUUUGCAUUGAUGAUGUUACUGCUUUGGAGAUUGUUUUCUUUCAACAGCUGCUAUAUAUAUAUUUUUUAUAUAAAAAAAAUGAAUGUUAUUGUUUCGGUGUAAAUUUUGUGGGACCGAGACACUAACCUGGAUGUCGUGGCUUUCCUGCUUUCGGGCGCUUGGAUUGACCGGGUCGCUCGUUCUUCCUGGGUCUCGACCGCUUGGUCUCCUUAAGGCUGGACCGUUCGGUGGAUUUUGAUCUUUGACCGAAGGGGGGAGGUACCUGCAAUGGCACUCCGAUGCCCAAGUUAGGCGAGUGGUGAAUGAACCUUGGUUCUUGAGUUGACGAUUCUCAGUAUGAGAAUAGAUAAUAGGGUUUCUGAGUGAUUAUAGCGUAAGUAGAGUAUGUGUAAAGCGUACAUGGCUUGUGUCCUUGGCUUUCUAUUUAUAAUUUGUCUCAUGAACCUUGAACUGACAUAAGCCCAAUAAAAUAUAAACAGAAUAAAAUAUAAACAAACUUGUUUGGUUACUCAUAAACAGCCUUAUCAGUAUCUUUAAUCAGAUAUUAUUUUAUUCUUAAUAUUUUUAAUAAGAUAUCUUUGAUUCUGGUGGACUACAAGCCCAAUAAUGAGAGUUGGCCCAAUUAUGGCCCAACAUAGUCAUGAUGUUGUAUAUAACCGAUCAGUUAUUAUUUAUAACCGAUCGUCCCAGAUAUCAUACCGUACAUCAUCCCCCCAAGUCCGAGUUAAGCGUUAGGCUUUAGCCCUGGUUAACUGUAGGACUUAUGAGUUUGAGGGAGGUUGGAUUCGUUGUGCGUAGAGAGCGUUUUCCUAGUUGAUGGUGGUUAAUGGUUAUCCCGCUCAGUUUUACUGCCCAGGGUUGUUGAAUGACUGGAGCGAAAGUCCGUUUGAUGUUUAAUAUUGAGGUGUGCUAGAUGACGGGAAAGACCGAUGCGUUUGGUAUUUAAUAGGUCAGCUUAGAAUUGAAAAGUGGUUAUCAUACGACGUGUGCGUGUUGCCGUCUUGCAUUUUAGUUAUGACUGAUGUUUUCCCGCCUUUGGGGUAGUGACAAAGUCGUCAAAACGGAGCCGUUAGAUCAUUUUUAUCCAACGAUGUAGAUUGUGUGACGGUUGCAUCAGUUUCCUUUCAUUAAUGAGAUAGGUUUUCGCAGACGAACUCAACCGUCAUUUCUGCUUUUGUGUUUUCUCGAGAACUUUUGAACUUCCUCUUCUUCUAGCCGCAAGUUGCGUCCAAGCUUUGCUCUUUUUUCCAGGUAACCAUGGCUUCCUCUUCGCAUUUAGAUUGUUCAUUGUCACAGAGUGAGGAAAGAGGGCAUGAGGGCUCGACUGAUGUAUCUGGGGACGCUCAGACUGAAAAGUUUUCAUCGGUGCUUAACGGGGGAAAAGUUUUUGUUUGCGGUGGGGUUACCGUUGAAGUCCUCGAAAACUCCUGCUCUUCAUCGUGCUUAGAUUAUGGGUGGGCCUCCUGCGACAUAGGUGAUUAUUCAAGUCUUUUUGUUAGUAGACCUGUUCUGUUAGAUUGGGCGAAUAAUAGUUGUGUUCUUAGAGCCUUAAGUUACAACUCUGCUAUUAAGUUGAUUGCCUGUAGAGGGGAUGAAAGGGUUUUCCAUGGCAAAGAUACUGUUGGCGAGGAUUUUUUCUAUUUUUAUUCAUGCUUGUUUUUUGAUAUGUACAUUAGGUUACCUUUUACUGGGUUUCAGAUGGAUGUUUUGUGGGUCCUGAAUGUAGCUCCCUCUCAGUUGCACCAGAACAAUUGGGGUUACAUUCAGGUGUUCGCUGUCUUGUAUCAGACCUUGGGUAUUUAGCCAACAGUCAAAUUGUUCCUUUAUUUUUUUAGGACGCGCCCCAACGCCAAGAGGGAUUGGGUGUCUUUCAGUUUCGAGCCUAAGAAUGCUUACAAUUAUAUUAUAGCAUCACUAUACAAGUGCCAGUUUCUGUGGACUUUAUUUAUGCUAAAACAUAAAGUGUUGUAUGAUUCAUGUCGUGAAAUCUCAGUAAGUGGGAAAGUGCUUUUGUUUCUGUCAAGCUUUAAUAAUGAUAACUUGUGUAAUCAUGUUUCUUAUUAUAUAUGAUACUUUUUGGACACCUAAAACAGGUCGGAUGCUAGGUGGAAAAUUAUCUAGGUCUCCUGGUGGGCUUCCUCCACAAUCACCUAUUGCUCAAUGGGACAACAUCAUCAAAUUUUUGGAUUCACUCAUGAGCAGAAUGCGUGUAAAUCAUGUAUGCUAUUUAGUCAAUAAAUAGUUUAACUAGUUCUUCAAAAUACUGGUUUCAUUUUAGAAAUGUCUAUAACAUGUUUUAAUAAAUAGUUUUACUUAGUUUCUAAUUGUAGAUGUUACUAUUGCAAAUGAAUAUUAUUGAACUUAAAUAUUCUCAUUUAAUUUUACUUUAUGAGUUUUGAAUGUUAGUGUUGUAACUUAUAAGUUUUGGAAUUUAAAAGGGUUUUUUAUUCUAUAAUGUUGUUUUCAAUUGAUAAUUUUUUAAUAUAAUGCGGUAACUUUGAAAAAAUAUUUUUUAUUUUACUAGUUCAAUCACAGUUAGCUCAUUUAUUAUUGAACCGGUGCACUUACCUGUUUAAUGACCAGUUUGGUUUCCAAAAUAUUGACAAUCUUGUUCCUAUUGUUCCUAUUGUUGUUACUGCAUCAUCCUUAGUUCUGGAGGUUUUCUUGUUCUCUUUUUGUAUAUUACUUUUCCAAGUUUAUAAAGGCUUUACUUGUCCAAAAAUUUAAUCAUGUUUCAAUAAAAAUUGCAUGAAAUGGGGAUGUACAGUGAGCUUGCUAUUACUACGUGAUUUUAUUUUUAAGGUUUAAUCAUAUUUAUACUUUAUGUCUUUGUUUCGUGUUUUAUCCUUUGUUCUAAUCCGCUUGGAUCUUUGUGGGUUCUUAUGCAUGUGUGAGCAGCCAAUGAUAUAUGGUAGGGGUCCAAUGCCAACAGGAAUGCAAAUGGUUCCAAUGGUGUUACCAGACGGUCGAAUUGGCUAUGUCGGCUAUGUCUUGUAAGUUUCUGCGAAUUCAUUUUUACAUAAAUUUUAUCAUAUGAAAAUACUAAUAAGAAUGCUUUUUAAAUUUAAAUCAUACUAUAAAUUAAUAUAGUAUAUUAUUUAGUAUUGUCAAUAUAAUUUAAAAUUGCAUUGGCAAUUAUGCAUAAUAGUAAUUUAACACAGUAAUAGAAAAAAUUUGUAACCCAAUAUGUUUUUUAAAUUAUUGGCAUUUGUAUAAAAAUUAUAUAUGUAUCAUCAUCAUUACUAUAAAAUGUUCUAUACAUAAUUUUACUAUCAAUUUUAUUUCUAUUUCGUGUGUAAUUUUUAAUCAUUGUUGUCCAAGUUUUUUAAUUUGAAUCAUAAGUUUAUAUUCUAAGCUAUGGAGUAAUGUUUAUUUAGUUUUAUUACACUGAAUUGUAAAAAUUGGAAAAAAUAAUUGAUUUUGAUAAUGGUGAUAUGGUGCAGACAACAACCUAGUGUACAAGCGCCACGCAGCCGACCUCGCAGAAGUGAUUGGAGUAAUGGUCCAAGUGGGCAGCCAGGACGAGGAGGUGAUAGUGGCAAUGAUGAAGGCAAUCGUAGUAGAAGGCAUUGUCUUUGAGUUGUUUUCUUAUUUAGAAGUAUAAUUUAAAUGUUUUUCCUCUGUAUGUGUUGUAUUGUUGUGGCAGCAAGUAUCUUAUGUAAAAGACUACGAACAUAUUAUGUAGUAUCAUUUGAUAUUUCCUUUUCGAUUGUCCUUCUCCAGUACAAAUAUUAGUGGUUAGUUUGACUUCAUGUCAUGAAAAAUUUCAUAAUCUAAACUAGUGGAGUGAAACUUCUUUGUCCUCCGAUAAUUACCGACGGCCUUUGUCCUUCGGUAAUUACCGAAGGUUUUUGCCCUUUGGUAAUUACCGAAGGGUAAAGGCCGUCGGUAAUGGUUAGCGACAAAUGAUUUACUGACAGCUUUUUGACCAUCGGUAAGUCGUCGGUAAUAGGUCAUUACCGACAACUUCUGGAUGUUUCCGAGAGAUUCUGGCCUUUGGUAACGCCCUUAUUCAGAAGAGUCUUGAUAUUUUGACACCAAAAUUUUGACACUUUUUUUACACUGCCAAGUGUCACAAUUUGAUUGGUUUGUUUUUAAAUGUUGUUUUGAAUUAAAAUUUGACGUCAAGUUUAAGGGAGGUUUGAGAAAUGUGUGCUUCCAAAAAUGCCCUUGUUCUGUUCCAUUUGAAAUGAACCUUCUCUCUCCUGUUUCAGAAGUAUGGGUUUCGUUCUCCCGUUCGCUCUCGCUCUUCAUUUUGGUUGACCCUCUCACUCUCGCUGUCGGUGUGGGUGUCGCUCUCGUUAUCGAUGUUUGUUGCACGUGUUCCUUUAAAGCAACGUCGUUGACUUUCUUGAGUUUAUUGUGCGGAAUGACAAGUUUCGAUAAGCAUGGUUCUUCAAGUAAAAAGGUUCUUCCUCCAUUUAGUUGUUGUUUUAUAUUUUUAUGUUUUUUUUUAGGGUAUUUAUGUUUUGGUUAUUUUGUUUGUGGUUGAUGCAGUUGACUGUUCGUCGCUCAUUUUGAACAAAGUAUAUUUCUACUUUGAAGGAAUUCUUGACAAAGGAGCACCGGUCACGAAGACGUAUGUGAGGAUGGGGUCACGAAGGCAUUACAAGAGCAGAUCGCUUAGGACUCCUUAUACUGGAUUGCUAAGAAUAAAAAAUGAGUGAUAUUUGUAUACGUUUCUUCAGAGAAUGUAAAAUAGAAUUAGUAUUAUGAACAAAUGUUUUGUAAUUUGGAUUGUAUCAUUUUCAAUGUUAUAAAAGAUGCAUUUGAUGUAGUAUUACUGUUAAAUGAAUUGCCUUUGUUAUUACUGUUAAAUGAAUUACCUCUGUUAUUGUGAUUGGCAAAUUGAGGUUUUGUUUGAAUUGUUAAGGAAUAAAGUUGGCAAUUUGAUGUACUAUUGAUGUAUUUAAUGGAGGAAUGAAACAAUGCAGUUGGAAUUUUUGGUAUUUUUUUCAAAUACGUAUUUCUUUUGGUCUGAUUUUGUUGUUAAGGAGUCAUUUUAGUGUGGUUGUUCAUGUUUGGGUACCCCAAGUUGGACAUAGGAAACAAUAACGUUGAGUAGAGGAACUUAGUUGAACUCCUGAAAGUUCUGUAGUUAAAAAUGCACUGGUAAACGAUUACGUGAACAUAUUAUGUGAUUUGUACAGAAAGUUGUACUGCUGGAGCCAGUUCUGGUAACCUAGGGGACCAUAGUCUAAAUUUUUGUAGUUUUUUCAUAAAUGCAAUUAUUUUUGUGUGAUUUUGUUGUUUAAGUGUGAUUUUAUAAUGUGGGAAAUCAAGUUUGGGCACCCCAUGUUCGAGAUAAGAAUCAAAUUUUUUUCAUUUGAACAAGUUAGUUGAAGUUUUGCAGCCAGUUCUGGUAACCUAGGGGUCCAUAGUCUAAAUUUUUGUAUUUUUUGCAUAAACGCAAUGGUUUUUGUGUGAUUUUAAGUGUGAUUUUAGUGUGGAAAAUCAAGUUUGGGCUCCCCAUGUUCGAGAUAAGACACAUUUUUUUUCAUUUGAACAAGUUAAUUGAGGUUUUGCAAGGUCUAGAGCAAAAAACAAAGUUGUAAUCGUUUACAAGACCUUGGUAAACGAUUACACGAACAAAAUCCUGGAUUUGUACAGAAAGUUGUACUACAGGAGCUAGUUCUAGUUACCUAGGGGACCAUAAUAUAAAUUUUGUAUUUUUUGCAUAAACGCAAUGGUUUUUGUGUGAUUUUGUUGUUUAAGUGUGAUUUUAGUGUGGGAAAUCAAGUUUGGGCACCCCAUGUUUGAGAUAAGAAACAAUUUUUUUCAUUUGAACAAGCUACUUGGAGUUUUGCAAGGUCUAGAGCGAAAAACAAAGCUGUAAACGUUUACAAGACCUUGGUAAACGAUUACACGAACAAAAUCCUGGAUUUGUACAGAAAGUUGUACUACAAGAGCCAGUUCUGGUAACCUAGGAGACCAUAGUCUAAAUUUUUGUAUUUUUUGCAUAAAUGCAAUGGUUUUUGUGUGAUUUUGUUGUUUAACUGUGAUUUUAGUGUGGAAAAUCAAGUUUGGACACCCCAUGUUCGAGAUAAGAAACCAUUUUUUUCAUUUGAACAAGUUAGUUGAAGUUUUACAAGGUUUAGAGCAAAAAACAAAGUUGUAAUCGUUUACAAGACCUUGGUAAACGAUUACACGAACAAAAUCCUGGAUUUGUACAGAAAGUUGUACUGCAGGAGCCAGUUCUGGUAACCUAGGGGACCAUGGUCUAAAUUUUUGUAUUUUUUGCAUAAACGCAAUAGUUUUUGUGUGAUUUUGUUGUUUAAGUGUGAUUUUAGUGUGGGAAAUCAAGUUUGGGCACCCCAUGUUCGAGAUAAGAAAUAUUUUUUUCAUUUGAACAAGUUAGUUAAAGUCCUUCAAGGUCUGGAACAAGUUAGUCUAAAUUUUUUCAUUUGAAUAAGUUAGUUUGGUCUAGACUCAGACCUUACAAAUUUUUGGACAUUUAUACUAUGGUUGAAACUUAUUUUUAGUGUUUCAGUGUGAGCAGAGGCUAGGAAGUCAUGUUUGGGCAAUCCAUGAAAGUUAACAUUAUAUUGCAAUAAGAAUCUGUACAUAAAUAUCAUUGUUUCUUACAAAGACAAAAAUCCAUCUUUGCCUACAUACAAAGAAAAACUCUACAAAUAAAAUCAAUCCUAUAACAAUCCAAAUUUCUGUCGUGCUUCCAUUCUUCUAAUGUUGUUGUUGUCAAGGAUCCAGUCGCAUACAUAUUUCUUUACUUGAUCAAUGUCAAAAGGCACAACCUUCAAAACCUUUACUCGGUCAUGGAGUGCGGGAAAGAUAGUGUGGGAAGACGAAAAGCUCCAACCUUCGAAAAGCACCAACCUUCGAAAAGUUCCAACCUUUGAAAAGUCUCAACCUUUGAAAAGCCCCAACCUUACAAAAUCAUCAACCUUCGACGAGCAACAAUGGUGAAUGCCAAAGAGACAAACAAAAAAAGGAAGAUGAGAGCGGAACAUGAGAAAGAGUUCAAGGAAAACCUUGAAAAACAAUGCGAGAGACCCGCAACAAUGCUCAGGCAAAUGAGAGAGACAAAGAACUCAGAGAACACGAGAGGGAUAAUGGUAAUGAGAGAACGAGAGAGAGUGAUACGAGAAACGCGAGAGAGACUGGCAAUGAGAGAGAUUGAUACGAGAGUGAAGAGCAAAUGGGUGCGAAUGAAAGAAACCGCGAAACGAAAUUUCAUUUUUUUCCACCUUCCAAAUAUGCCCCUGCCUAAUUAUUAAAACCUCAUGUCUUUCUUUUCAAAUUCCGCCAAUUGAGAAACGACAUGUGGCAAUGUCAAAAGAGUGUCAAAAGUUUGGUGUCAAAGAAGUGUUUUCGUAUUGGAAAAACUAAUAUGUAUAGGUUUGAUCUCAUAAUGACUCAUGGACAAUAAUAUUGAGUCCGUAACACAGUAUAAAGGAUUCAAGAUUUUAUACCUUCUUUACCUUUUUCAAUUUGGUGAGUUGAGUGCUCACUGAAUGUGCUGUUGACAACUUUUUUAGGAUGUACAUUUCUUUUUGAUUGAGUUAUGCCAACAAUUUGUUGUAUUUGCUUCGUAGUCAAGUUUUUAUGGAUUUGUUCACAAGUGGAUUGCCCUUCAGUGACCGGUUCAGUUUUGUUCUUCAGAGCGUUUAAUGAGUAAUUUUAUCUUUGCUUCGUCCAAUGAGGGAACCCAUGCUUUGAAUAGCAUUCGUCUUCAGUGUGGUUCAUCUUUAUACAAUAUGAACAUUGCUUGCCAUAGUUCUUUCUUCUUCCUCUUCCAUAACUCUUCCACUCUGUGGUAUUUCCACUUCUGUAAUUCUUCUGAGUUUGAAUGACGUUGUUCACCAUCACUUUCUCUGUACCAUUACUAUCAUUUAGUUGUCUUUUUUGUUGGAGAACCAAAGGAAAAACACGAUUAAUACUUGGUAAUGGCUCCAUAAGCAAGAAUUGAGUUUUAACAGUGUUGUAGAUUCACCUAAGGCUUUUUAGGAAACACAUUAUGCGCUCAGAAUCUUUUUAGUCUGUAAUAAUCUUACUGAUAUUGUAGCUACAUCUCACGUGACAAACACAAGCUGGAAUAGUACUAAGAAAAUUCAGCUCUUCUCAUAAAAUCUCGGAGUUUGUGUAGUAUUUUGCAACCGUUCGUUCUCCCCGUUUUAUGGAAUUAAUUUCUUGGAGGAGAUGAGAAGUUAAUGUAUGUUAUUAUGCGUUUUUAGCGUAUGAUCCCUCUCCAACGUCAUAUUGGGUGAUGUCAAUAAGGCAUCGACUCCUUCAAAGGACAUCGGAUGUUCCCCAUCAGACGUCAUAUGAGACGUCAGAUUUAAGCACGUCAAACGUCAUAUGAGAUGUUGUGUAUAAGCCAUCUAACGUCUAUCAACGCUGAGCGCCACUGGCUCGUGCUGAGUGAGAAAAAUUCUAGAGUGCCACUAGAAACCUUUUGACGUCUGUCAGUGCACUGACAUACGUCAAUAGACAUCGGACAUAACCAUAACUAACGUUUACUGGGUGUUUUUUUUUAAAUUAAUUUAUUUUUGCAAUAAAACCACACCUAAAAAAUAUAUGAUUAUCACAGAACAUCAUAAUAUAAUAUAUUUUAUGCGUUUGAAGUUAAAAAGAUAAUAAACAAUCUAAAAAACAAUCCAAAACUUAAACAAUCAAAACUUAAACUUAAACUAAAGCUAAUUAAUGUUCAACAACAAUAAAAGUCUUCCUAAAGGCAUGGGCAUGGGUCUUAAGUCCAUCUCGAAGAAGAUAAGUUGCCCACUCUUGUUUUAUCUUUUUAAUUGUGUCCUCUAGUAUAAGAGAUGUAUUCUUGAAUCACUGUAAAAUGAAGUUGAUUUCAUAAUGUUUGCAUAUGUUCAAAGAUGAAUUUCAUUUGUAAUGUAUUGAAGGUAAGCAUCAUUACCUCAAUGCAGUCAUCUGUAAUAUCAGGUCGAAUGAUGGUUUUAAUCCAAGACAUGACAUAGUAGCCACAUUACCAUGAAUUUAGCUGUUUGUUACACUAAAAUGACAAACUAAAAAGUCAAUUAUUUGGAUCAUUCAAUAACAUAGAAAAUGAAUAAGAACUAUAAAUGACUUAUAACUUUUGGAUACAAGAUUUGAAUUAGCUUACCUCGGGGUUUACCCAUAACUUUAUUUACAUUAAAAACACAAGGUAAUAUUAAUAUAACUAUAUUCUUCAUAAAAAUUGAAGGUCAACAUGAAUUUGAAACAUAAAAAGAGAAACACUUACCCUUGAAGCAAUGUUUUCAAGUCAUUUUUCAUCCUCCUGUGCAGCGAACAAAACCAUAGAAUUUUGCAUUGUCUAGGAAUGACAACCAUCAGCUGCCAAUGAGACCUAUCAUGAAUCAUAAAUAAUUAGUAAACUAAUUAAGUAAGUUUUAAUGAAAUUUUACAUUUUGCAGCACAUACCCAUCAAUGUAUGGCAUAAGGUAUACGUCUCUAUUUAAUCGAUUACAUCUGGUAAUUGAUUACAACAAGGUUGUAAUCGAUUGCCAGGGUCAUUUUUGUGUAAACACUCUAGUAAUCGCUUACAAGGGAGUUUUUGUCCACUGAACCUGCUAGUAAUUGAUUACAACAAGGGUGUAAUCAAUUACCAAAGUCAUUUUUUCCUACAAAGGUGAAGUCGUGUAGGAGGGCACGACUUUAGCACGUUGUAAUUGAUUACAGAGCUUGGUAAUCGAUUACAACGCCAUGAAGUUGUUUUUGGGGUGCACGACUUCAAGACUGUUCAAAUGAACAGUGUGAAGUCGUGCAGGGGGCACGACUUCUUCCUUAGAAGUCGUCUAGGCCCCCCACGACUUCCCUUUGACCACAAAUUUGCUCAUUUACUAAUAUGGGAGGCAAAUUUGCCUAGUUUCGUACAAAAAUCCAUGUUUAUCUGAUGAUAGUUGGGCUAGUUUUACUCAACUUUUGGAGCAGUAUUAGGCACCUACCUACAUGUUAACUAGCACUUUGGGCAGAAUGUGAUGUAAGUCAUGUAGCAUAAGUUUUAGAACUAGACAUACUCCUUGUGCGAGUUAUUCAUAUGCAUAACUCUAAUGUUUUAUUGCAACUAUAUUUGUGUAUUCUAUUUGCUCGUUUGUGCCGUGGCAUAGUUAAAUAGAAGUCAAUUGCUUAGGUAACUGCGAUCAGAAUAUAGGAUUUAAGAAAUAUGGUUUGACCAAUGUUAACUAUUUAAUGUGAUUUUUGGUUUUGAUAGUUAUGGUUAUUAUAUUUGAACGAAAAUUUUUGACCACCCUUUUAAACUCUUAUUAUAGGAGAAAAAUCAUAGGAGUCCUUAUUUUGGGUGCAUCUGAAGUUUUUUUUUUUUUUUUGGAUUGUGAUCUUAAAAUGAUCCUAACUUUCACUCAGGUUAUUAGUUUUUGCAUUACUAUAUAUAGAUUUGGGGUAGAAAAAUAUUUUGAUACAGUGGUAGCUCGCAUAGCCAGCUAAUCCUUCUAGAUUUUCCAGAAAACAUUGUUUUCAUAUUUUUCAAAAAUUUAUUUUGUUUUGUUUUUUCAAACUUUGCACAAAUAUUUAAAAUAGUUAGACUUUGAAUUUUGAGCUGAAAUUUUGUGUGAAGGGUUUUCAUGAUUUUUUGGUCUUUCCAACAAAUUUUAAAGUCAUUUAAAGUUCGUUUGAGCAUACUAUCAGUUUUACUUACACCUAUGUUUUGAUGUGUAUGGUGUAUGAAGAACAAACAACCAAAUGAAAACAUGAAAAACCUAAAAUGAAAUUAACCUUGAAGGUGAGUUUGGUGCUGAAAUGAAACGAAAUGAGCAUCACAAAGCGCCUAUCUAAAGAGCACCUGUGCACAAAAUUAAUCGAUCAAAACGAAAGAAAAUCAUACCUAAGAACUUAAUCAGCCUAAAAUUAAAGAAAAAAAAUGGAAGAAAUGUUAAGGAUGAGGUCGCGAAAAUGGAAGACGAGAGAGCGACGCGGCAUAGCAAAGAAAAUGAUGUUUCUGUCUGAAAUGUACAAGAGGCUUUGUUCACGAAAUUUAACCUUAGAAACAUAUUAUUACCUCGAUUAUUUUAUUAACCAAGACAAUAAGGGUUCUAUGGCCUCAGUUUUAUUAAGAAUCGCUACCUAAAGCCUCUAAAAAAAUAUUUUCAGUUAUUUUAUGCUUCGAUUCGCGGCAUAACCGAAGUAUAAGUACUAUAUGGCCUUAAUUCUCUAAACAACUGAGGUUAUAGACUCCUUUAAGCUUCGGUUCUUUCUAAACCGAGACAUAUGUAUUUGCGAUAAUUGCAAAAAUGUCACUGCACCAUUUUAUGUUUCGGUUGCAACAAAACCAAUGUCAAAUGCGUAAGUUAAUAUUCAUAUUUUUUUACUAGUGAGAAAACGAAACAGUAAAGACAUGGUGGCAAUUUUAAAAAUUUUGUGAAUUUAUAAAUCUCGAUUGCACUACAUACAAAAUCAUAUACUUCUUUUGACUUGAUUAUUAUAGAAACGACUUCGAAAGGUGUGUGAAACUUUAAAAAACUUUCAAAAUUCUUAUUAUUUAUUUUUAAUUAUUUUAUCUAAAAGAAGAGAUUUGGCUUCGAUUCUCAAAUAAUCAAAGCCAUAUAUUCUUUUCUACUUCAGUUUCAGUUAAGAUGCACAAAGAUUUUCAAAAUUUCUGCUAUUUAUUUAAUUAUUUUAUAUGAAAGAGGAGAUUUGACUUCGAUUCUCAAAUAACCAAAGACAUUUCUUUUGCUUUGGUUUAUGAGCAAUUGAAGUUGAAAGGUAUGUAAAAAUUUCAAAAUUUUAAGGGUAUUUGACUUCGGUUCUUCUACAAACUAAGGUCAAAUACCCUGUUCUAUCUCGGUUCUUAUACGAAAUAAAGUCAUACAUAAUUUUUUCCUUCGGUUAUUAAAUAACUGAGGUCAAAAGGUGUGCACAUUUUCAAAAAAUUUCAAAAUUUUGAAGGUAUUUCUCAUACAGAAUCCCUUAUUUAUUUAUGUCAAACAUUUUUGUGUCUACUUCAUGAAAACUUUAAGUUUCAACAUUUUAUUUUGAUUGAAAUAUUAUGUAGAAAAUUGGAAGAUUGAAGAAUAUUGUAAAAUGUUUUUUAGGACUUUUUCGUUUGGUAAGAAAUUCUCUCACCUAACUCGCUCAACGAGACAUCAACUCAUUCGCCUAGCACUCAAUGGGUAAAGAAAGUCUUAUGUGAGACGAAAGCAACCUCUAGUCCAAGUUAGGCUAGUCUAACAAGAACUUUCUUUUUAAUAAAUAUUUGAAAGUCAAUCUUUACACAAAAAGAAAGUUUUUGGAGAGGGAACUUAAUCCGAGAUCAAAUGACAUGUAGAGAUGGAAAUGGGAGCUUAAAAUCACUUCGUCUUCAUUCUUACCACUUUCUUUUUUGUAUUUUUUUGUACUCCUCUUAUGUAGGAGUGACUAACUUGUUACAUUGACGAUUUUUCAACAAAUGUUUAAAAAUGUCAAAAUCUAUAAUGUAUAUGAAAUAUAUUAAAAAAUAUUAAAAUUUUAAAAAAAAAUUGAAAUCAUAUAUAAAUUUAUAUAAAUAUAAAAACAAAUUAUGGAGAGGGGUCAAGGUCCCUCUGUCACAUCUAAGGUCUGUCUCUAAAUUUUCAUUUAUUAGGGUUGGAUAUAAUAUAUUUAACUAUAAUACUUGGACUUUUAAUGAUAAUUCUAUAGCACAAAACCUUCUUGAAUUAUCAAACAAUCUAGAACCCUUAAUCGAGAUUGUAGUGAAUAACAUCAGUUGAAUUUAAUCACACUAUCGUCUUAAGUAAUUUUACCUUAUAUUUUUUGAAAAUAAAAGAAAAGAGUGAAAGAAGAAUGUUAAUCUGUGUAAGUUGCUAUUCGUCUCUCCUGAAAAUACUCUUAGAAUAUUUCACCAUAAAGAAAGAAAAUGCAGACAAAAUGACAAAGACUUUUGAGGUAAAUAUUGUGUUGACGUAGAAUUUAAAAAAGCUUUUCACACUUUUUUUAGCACCUAAAAUCACGUCAUGUUGCUCCUCGUCAAUUUUCUAACCCAUAUAAGGGGGGCAGAACUUUAAAAUUCAAGCAUACGAUGAUGAAUUAUUUUACACUUUAUUCAUUUUUUUGUGUAAAGACAAUGAAGGAAUUUAUCUCAGUUGAUCGAAACGUAUUUGAAAAUAAAAUAAAAAGUGUGGAAGAAGAAUGUUAGUCUCUGUAGGUUGUUAUUGUUUAGCUCCAAAGGCAGAAAAAAAAAAGGCAAAAAUUCAUUUUAAGAAAUUCUUUCACACUUGUUUUUAGGUCUCUCUUAAGUAAUUUUUAGCACCUAAAGUGACGUUGCUCCUGCUCAAUUAGGUUGAUACAAAUUACGUUACUAUUUUGACAUGCAAAUUCAAUUUUAUAAAUUUAGUGUUCGGGUACGAGGUCGAGUCACCUAACUCCUACACAAUUUUCUCUUGAAAUCGAUUGAUUUUCUGUGUCCGCCUCCUCCUCCUUGUCUUAGUCUUCUCACGCCGGUUGUCCUCUUCUCGCUUUGUCUUUUCCUUUGUUUGAAUCAUGUACGAGAGAGUAUCUGCUAAAGGUUCUCCGAUGCCAGAGACAAUUUCGAUAAUCUGAGAAGUGUAUAAAAUGUGCAAUUAAUUAACCCACCUACCUUUUACCUUACUUGUAUUUAUAGUAUUGGUUAUAGGCCUUGGAUUAGAGAAACCUUAAGUAAGGUCCAAUUACAAUCCAAUAACCUUUAAUCCCGUCUUACCUUAAUUACGUCUGUAAAGCAGUUCAUCAUGGCCCCACAGUCUUGUCGUUGCUUAACAAUCGUCCCUCUGGAACGUCCAGUUCACCCCCAGUAUAUUUAGCAUAUAAAAAUCAAAUGGUUAGAUAGAUAGUGUAAUAUAAAAUUUCAGGGAGAAGCUCAAGGGAGAAGAAAAAAAAAACUUGAGCCUUUUCUAUGUUUCUUCUUUUUUAGAAGGAAAAUAUUACUACAGAUAUGUUCUUCUCAUAUUUCAUUUUGAUUAUCUUAUCAACUUAUGAUAAUGAUUAUGCUGAGAUUUAUUCUUUUCAUUAUAUUGGAUAAUUUUAUUCGUAUACAAAAUAUAAAUUAAUCUGGCGUUUCUAUAUUAUGCCUACGAGAUUUUCUUUAUCACAUGUAUAAUAAAUAGUUUUAUUGUGCAAUGUGUGAAGUGUGUGUUAGAAACUGAAUUUUCUGCAAAUUGUUUUAUUUUGAAAUAAUAAAUAGAAGUUUGAUUUUUAAAAUCAAUUGGGUUUGGAUAAAAUAUAUGUAUAUAGAAGCUUGAAUUGAGUUAAUGAUGAAGAACUUCUGUUAUUAACUUAACACGAGAUUUAGUAUUAGAAAGCUAUAGAAAGCUAAAAACGUGGAAAGUAGAAAGGUAUUAAAAGAAUUAACUUAAAAAUUAAUUUGAUUAAAUAUAAUUUCAAUCAUAUAUUUUAAAUGUAUGAUCAGAAUUUAUUUCUUUCAUCUGACACUUGUUUCGUAUAUUGUGAAAUUGAAAUAUUUUAUCUCUUUACCCAACAAAUAAAAAUAAGGGGUUUUCUCCUUUCAUAUACAAAAUUGUAUGAAAUAUUUUAGUAAAAAAAAGUUUGAACAAUUAGAGUUUUAAAAGGGAAGAUUAUGUGGUAAGGAUGAGGAACAAAUCAUUUUCGUUUGAAAAAAAAUUCCACUCUUUCUGAAAUUCUAAAAAUGAUUUUGAUAAAAAAAGUUAACAAUUUGUUUAAAUAGAUUAUUAUCGUUUAUUUCUUUCAUACAUUUUCGUAAAAUAGGUUAUUACAUGAGGAAAAUUAAUAAUUGGAUCUCUAAAAUAGUUUUGUUUAUAUGAUCUCUAAAAUUGGAUCUCUAAAAUAGUUUUGUUUAUAUGAUUUAUGUGUGGUGUUCUAAUAUUGUAAUCUAAAAGUCUUUUUGAUUUCAUUUUCUGCAUUUCCUUGUCACGAUGUCAUAAUUUGAUAAACUAUAAAAUGGGUUGGACUAGUUCUAUUUAUUUUUUUCUUUUUAUGUAUUUAAACAAGCCUUUCAUACAUUUUUUUUUAUCGUCUCUCAUUUAAUUUUAGCACCUAAAUUACGUUUCUUAUUUAAAAAAAGGGUUAAAUAUGUUUUUAGUCCCUAUACUUGGGACGAUUUUGGUUUUAGUCCCUCUUUCAAACUAAGGGUACAAUUUAAUCCUUCAACUUUAGAAAACUCUGGUUUUAGUCCUUUUUACCAAAUUUUUUUAACUUUAUUUACUGUUUCAAAAGCGUUUAUAUCAGUUAACAUUGAAGCAAAAAUGUGUCAAGCAGUGUAAACAAUCUAAAUGCUAUAAUGAAACGUGCUUGAAACAGCAAAUAAAGUUAAAAAAAUUUGGUAAAAAGAACUAAAACUAGAGUUUUCUAGAGUUGAAGGACUAAAUUGUACCUUAGUUUGAAAGAGGGACUAAAACCAAAAUCGCCCCAAAGUACAGGGACUAAAGCAUAUUUAACCCUUAAAAAAAAGAUACAAAAUAAGUUACUGAUUUUGACAACUCAAUCUGAUUUUAUAUUAUAGAAAAAUUAAACUUUGAUAUAGAUUAGGUUCAUCUCUACUUCUGCCAUGUCACCAUCAUUAAUUGGAGCAACUUCUCUUUUACUUUGCAUCAUUAUUGCUAAAAAUCAAAACUGGCUUCAUUAAAUUCUCUUUAGAGUUUGAUUUUCAUUAUUUUCAAUUGAGUGUUUCACAUCCAAAUAUAUAUAUAUAUAUAUAUAUAUAUAUAUAUAUAUAUAUAUAUAUAUAUAUAUAUAUAUAUAUAUAUAUAUAUAUAUUCUCCUCUUGAAGUGAAUUUAUGAUAUAUCAUACAAACACUAGUUAUUCAACAAAUUUAUUUGCUUUAUAACUUCAUAAAAUAGUUCUAAGCUUAAUAAUUUGAUGGAUGAUUUAAUCUAAACUUUUUUUUUUUAUCAAAUGGUAGAAAGGUCUUAAACAUUUCUUCUUCAUUUACUUAAACGCUUUCAGUCAACCUUAUAUCGUUCUCAAAUUUAUCUAUCGUCAAUAAUUGAAAUUCACAAUUUACUCAUUUUUAAAGUCUUAAUUUGAAAAAUAAAUCUUUAUAUUUACAUAUUUUCAUAAGUUGAUUAUUCUUAAUUAUAUGCAUAUGUACGUACAAAAUUUCAAUAUUUUUCAUUACAUCAUAUUUACGAAAUUUGAUUUAAUGGUAUAGUAUAAAAUGUAUUAGGUUAAAUUAUGUAAUAUGUUUUUAUUUUUUUAGGGAGGUAUCAAAAUUAGUCUUUUUUUUUUUUAUCUAUACCUUUCAAUUUGUUCCUUAUUUUAUAAGAUUUGAUGUAAUCAAAUUUUUUAUAUUAGUAUGGUACUAACAACACUAAAGAGAUAUGAUGUGUCAUUUCAUAAGUUUUCCAAUUUCUUAACUCUUUUUUUUCAAUUUUUUAAUUUUUUUCAAAAUAAAAAAAAAUUAUCACAUGUCAAACUAAUGUUGUGCAACAUGACACUAAUAAUGUUGUGUGUAUAUGUAUCAUUAUUUUAGUCAUAUGUUAAUCCUUGUAUUUUUAUUUUGUCUAAAUUUAGUUUCAAUUUUUUUAAAAUCAAUCAAUUUCGUUCCUCUUUAAAUUAAAAUAAAAUUUAAUUUUUAUAUAAAUGUUAUACAAAUAUUUUUAUUAAAAUUAAUAUUUUUAUUAUAUAUUUUUAACAAAAUUAAUUUUAUUUAUAUUUAGAUUUUACUUUGAAUUUUAUUUAAACUUGUUUUCAGAUUUUAAAUUUGUUUGUUUUAAAUUAUUGUAAAAUUGUUUAAAAUUAUUUUAAAAUUUUACAUUCGUACUAAUAAAAUUGUUUUCAAAGGGCUUAUUCUCUUGAUCAAACUUGUUUAACUAGAAAUCUUAAGUUUUUUUCAAAACCAUAUGGGAAUGGUGAGUUUUUUCUCCGUAUAUUAAUUUAUUUUUAUUUUUUAAAAUUAUUGUCCCUUUCAAAAAUUAUGACCCUUUAUACUUGAGUCGGCCUAACAAUGAUAAAAAAACUUGAAAUGUGAUGGGUGCGCCUAACAAUGAUGAUAUUUGAGUGAGUGACUGUUAAGUGAAUGGUUAAGACUCUGUCAAACAAUAAGUUCGGUUUUUAAAGUCAAGACAGAAAUAAUACAUUUAAUGUGAAUUGACUAUUUAUACUCUAUAAAAUAGAUUAUAAUAUUAAUUUUAACUUAUAAAAUGGACGGGGAAAAAGAAAUCCAUGCAUUUAAACAAGCCCUCUCUAAUUAAAUUUUAGCACCUAAAUUACGUAUCUUCUUUUCUAUUAAAUUGGUAGACUUUAAAAAAAUAAAAAUAUGUUACUGUUUUUGACAACUCAAUUUGAUUUUAUACCAUAGAAAAUUUAAAUUGUUUACUAAUAUUGCUGGAUCUGGAACCUUCUUGUGUUUUCAGAUAUAUUUUGUCAGUAAAAAUUAUUCAGAGUUUAACUUAUAUUUAUCAAAUACUAAUAAUUUAAUUAGUUAUAUGAACAAGUUUCAGAUAUAAGUUAGGUUUUAUGAAUUAAUUUUUCAAAAUUUAAAAAUAGUUGAUAAAGAGGGAAAACGUGUUGAAGAUGUUGAGUAAUUGAUAUUAAUUUUGACUUCACACUCAAUUAAAAGUAAUAAUCAAGGAAAUUAUCUCAGUCAAUUCAAACAUAUUUCAAAAGAAAAAAGGUAGAAGAAGAAUGAAAAUGAAAAUGAAAAUAGUUAGAUAGAUAGCAUAAACAUAAAAAGGCAUUGCAGCACUAUAUAUAUGUUAUUUCCCGUGCAUAACCCGUAACCACUUAUUUUUAACACUUGUUAAAAUGAAUUCCUUCCUUUUGAUAAUCGUGUUUGUUCAUCUUUGUUGGGUUUCUCUAAGUCUGAGCGCAGAGACAGUGUGCAUUGGAAGUGAGAGAGAGACACUGUUAAAGUUGAAGCAUCAUAUCAUUGAUCCUUCAAAUAGACUUUCUUCUUGGAAUGCUUCUCUUAAUCCAAAUUGUUGCCACUGGUAUGGAGUUCUCUGCAACAAUGUCACAUCCUACGUUGUAGAGCUUCACCUCAACACUCCACUUCCUUCUUUCCCUUUCGAUGAGAGCCUAAUAUAUGAAACUUACGAAGAAGUUCACAGAGAAACAUUCAAUGAGUAUAGUAGAAGGGCAUUCAGUGGAGAGAUAAAUCCUUGUUUGGUUGAUUUGAAGCAUUUGAAUUACUUGGAUCUCAGCGGCAAUCUUUUU
rnacentral:lncRNA from 1 species